UACGAAGGGGGCUAGCGUUGCUCGGAAUCACUGGGCGUAAAGGGCGCGUAGGCGGGCUCUUAGGUCAGGGGUGAAAGCCCAAGGCUCAACCUUGGAAUUGCCUUUGAUACUGAGGGCCUUGAGACCGGAAGAGGUCGGCGGAACUGCGAGUGUAGAGGUGAAAUUCGUAGAUAUUCGCAAGAACACCAGUGGCGAAGGCGGCCGACUGGUCCGGUUCUGACGCUGAGGCGCGAAAGCGUGGGGAGCAAACAGG
rnacentral:rRNA from 1 species